UACGUAGGGGGCUAGCGUUGUCCGGAAUUAUUGGGCGUAAAGAGCGUGUAGGCGGCCAGGUAGGUCUGCUGUGAAAACUCGAGGCUCAACCUCGAGAUGUCGGCGGAAACCAUCUGGCUAGAGUCCGGAAGAGGAGAGUGGAAUUCCUGGUGUAGCGGUGAAAUGCGCAGAUAUCAGGAAGAACACCCGUGGCGAAGGCGGCACUCUGGGACGGUACUGACGCUGAGACGCGAAAGCGUGGGGAGCGAACAGG
rnacentral:rRNA from 1 species